GCCUUUGUGGUGUAAUGGUCAGCACGCUUGACGCGUAUUCGAGAGAUCCGUGGUUCGAGUCCUGGUGAGGGCA
rnacentral:tRNA from 1 species